rnacentral:rRNA from 1 species
AUUGAACGCUGGCGGCGGGGCCUAACACAUGCAAGUCGAGCGGGGGUUUUUCGGACCUAGCGGCGGACGGGUGAGUAAUGCGUAGGAAGCUGCCCGAUAGAGGGGGGAUACCAGUUGGAAACGACUGUUAAUACCGCAUAAUGUCUACGGACCAAAGUGCGGGACCUUCGGGCCACAUGCUAUCGGAUGCGCCUACGUGG